CGCAGCUAAUUGCGCGUCAACUUGUGAACUGCAGGACACAUGAACAUCGACAUUUCGAACGCACAUUGCGGUCCUCGGAU
rnacentral:rRNA from 1 species